rnacentral:rRNA from 1 species
AUACGGAGGGUGCAAGCGUUAUUCGGAAUCACUGGGCGUAAAGGACGCGUAGGCGGGUUGGCAAGUCAGAUGUGAAAUCCUACAGCUUAACUGUAGAACUGCAUUUGAAACUGCUAAACUAGAGUAUGGGAGGGGGAGAUGGAAUUAGUGGUGUAGGGGUAAAAUCCGUAGAUAUCACUAGGGAUACCGAAAGCGAAGGCGAUCUCCUGGAACAUAACUGACGCUAAGGCGUGAAAGCGUGGGGAGCAAACAGGAUUAGAAACCCUAGUAGUCC